rnacentral:lncRNA from 1 species
GUACAAACAAAUUCUUAAAAACUGUACAUCAUCCUCCAGACCUCCACUUACCAUUUGCAUCACUCCAUAUGUCAAAUCUCAAAUGAACUUGGUGUAAUAAACUACACUGAUUAUCAUGCAAUACUUCUUUUCAUAAGCUCAACCUGUCAUGGUGAAAGGCACUGCAUACAGUAUGUGGUGAAUGUGCCACAUGUGCUGGAAAAUGACAUCUUUUGGCUGCAUCAGAAAUUGUAUAGCAUACAAGUAAGCCCUGGAAUAAUUAAUUGACUGUAUAAGCUAAUAGGAAGAUGCUUAUCUGCCUAAGCAGCUCGCAAAAGCACUGAAAAUACUUAAGUCAGCACUCAAACCAAAAUGGUCAUCAUACCACUUUUUGAACAGUCAUAAAAAAAUUUAGUGGCUACAGUUUCAUGUUUUGUGUAUUUCUCCCCACGUAAAGAAAAUUCUCCACCAUUAUUAGAAGAUUCUUUUUAUGUGACUGCUAGAAGAAAUUUUCUUUAAUUGAAUUAAGUAAAUCUUUUUGUGCAGCUUAUAUUAAUGAAAAACGGAGGAAAUGUAAUCUACAGUGGGCCAAUAGGAGAGCAAUCUUGCAAAGUGAUUGAGUACUUUGAGGUAGUAUUGCUCAAAAUGAUUCCUGACUGUGUAUCUAUUCUUUAUUGUUCUUUAUUUUUAUCUUUUUUAAUUCAACUAAAAUUAAAAUUUGCAUGAUUCUUCGAUUCUUGAUUAUAUGAAAUAGCAUAGAAAAAUGCUUCUCUAAGUGGUUUUAGAGAUGUCUUUGUUCCAUCUAGGGACAGAGCAGCUAGUAGCCACACAACAACACCAGUUUCCAGUUGCUUUUCAUUUCACACAGUUGGUAAUCUUAUAUAAUUUGGUGUAUUUGAUUGAAGCCGUUUGUAUUCAUUAUCUAAGUUGGCUCACAGCUCACAAGAAAAACAGAGGUAUAGAAGUUUUGUGCUUCCAGCCUUGCAUUUUGCAUGUAGAAAUUGAUGGCUAGAUUUAGUGACAAGAAAUUAACAGCAUGAUAGUUUUUGUGGCAAAUGUACAUCCGUGGACUGUGGUUCUGUGCUAGUGUUUUGAGACAAGCCAUGAGACAUGACUAUGUCAUAUCCGAGUGUGUCCUUGUGUGCAUCACAUUAUUAUGAGGAAUUUGGUAAUAUACUAUUAUGAAAAUAACACCUAAAUUAGUGAAGAGGUCUUAAACUGGAUGGUGGGGAUGUGAAAACUGUACAUCCACACAUACCACCGAGCAAGGUUCAGUCACUGGUACCAGAAGGAAUUAAUAGAGUGAUCUGCUUCCUUGUAUCAAUAGAAAAUUUCCGGUGUCCCAAAAAUAGAGAAAAAUUGCAACCCUGCUACUUGGAUGAUGGACAUAACAUCGGCAUCCAUGGAGUUUCAACUCAAUAUAAACUUUGCAAGUGCCUACCAAGAAUCCCCAUUGCACAGGUACAUCGUAUUGCCACUUUAUUUCGCAUUUGAUGAUCAACUGGGAAUAAAUAUAUGCCUAAACUAAGCUAGAUACUGAAAAAAAAAUGUCAACAAAAUACCUCCAUUGAACUUACAAAGAUAAUAUUUUUUUCCCUCCAGGGACAUGCAAGAGAUUGUUGAGCAACUAAGUAAUCCAUUACCAAAUUCAGAAAACCUAUGUUUCUCCUAUCGUUUCCCACAGAGUCGAUGGGGGCAAUUUAAAGCUUGCUUAUGGAAACAGAAUAUAACUUACUGGAGAAGUCCUCAAUAUAAUCUGAAUCGCAUUGUGAUGACAGUAAUGAUAGCCUUGAUCUUCGGAGUAUUGUACUGG